ACGCAUGAUUACGACGUCAAAAUGCGCAACGUGAUGAAGUUCCUCGAAGGUGGGGAUAAAGUUAAAGUCACAUUGCGUUUUCGUGGCCGCGAAAUGGCGCACCAGGAUCUGGGCCGUAUUCUUCUCAACCGCGUCGCUGACGAUGUUGAGGGUACAGGCAAGAUCGACAAUAUGCCCCGCGUUGAGGGCCGCCAGAUGGUUAUGAUGAUUUCGCCGGUUAAGACCUAACGGCCGGAUCUGCGAUAGGAAUAUGAAAGGCGGCGCAGAUGCGUCGCCUUUUUCGUCUCUACCAUUUCGACGCCACGUUGCCCCGUCACACCGAUGGCC
rnacentral:misc_RNA from 1 species